GGUGUGGCGAAGUUGGUUAACGCACCGGGUUUUGAUCCCGGCAUUCGCAGGUUCGAGUCCUGCCACC
rnacentral:tRNA from 1 species